UGGAAGGACAAUCAGGGAUUACACUUUUUAACAGAAUGUUUUUGUGUUAAGAAGGUUUCUGACCCGAGAAAGGAAAUAACUGCUAGUUAGAAUGCCGUCGAGAGUAAAAAAGAAGACCGUGGAGAAAAUUCCUAAAUCACCAUCAGCUACAAUCAGUAAACCUAAAAGGACAUUUUUCACGUAUUUCGAAGUUGAUUUAAAAAAAGUCUUGGAAUAAAUUAAAAAUGAGACCGCGAUUGCAGCAUCCAGUAAACAAUAUAAAAUUCCAAGAAAAACUUUGCGUAAUAAACUGCCAGGAAAAGCAUCACAAACUUCAGGUCGUGUUGAUCCAAAAUAUGUACUUAGUCACAAUAUCGAAAAUAAAUUGGAGAAGUGAUUAUUAGGAACAAGCAGAAUGGGUUUUCCAAUAAAUAAAUACUUCUUAGUACA